GUUAAGUGAAUGGAGCUUGGUGAAGGGUACUCAUGAGUGGUUAAAAUGAANUUACAUAAAAGUAUGGAAAGUGGUUUGACUUUUCUUUUAUUUCGUUGAUUUGCCAUGAUUGUGUGCUAUUGUUGUUUUCAGAAUGUUUAAUACUUUACGGGCUUGUAGUUUGGUUGGGUGAGUAUGAUAUUGUUUAUUUAUGGUGAAAUUGAGUUUAUGUUUGUGAGGCCCGGUGAAGCUCCUGGAAGUGUGGUGGAAGUAGCACUGGUACUUNCCCGGUGAAGCUCUNUNAGAAUAGAGUGGUGGGGGUGUAUACUUGUCCGGUGAAGCCCAAGAGGGUGGUGGAAAGUAUAGACUUGCCGGGGAAGCUCUAAGAGAGUGGUGGGAAGUGGUGUACUUGCCGGUGAAGCCUUCUAAAGAGUGGUGGGAAGUGUGAUUAUGUAACAGUUAGGUAAAGUGUACCAGCCCGGUGAAGCUCUUUAAUAGAGUGGUG
rnacentral:lncRNA from 1 species